rnacentral:rRNA from 1 species
UAGGGAAUCUUCCACAAUGGACGCAAGUCUGAUGGAGCAACGCCGCGUGAGUGAAGAAGGCUUUCGGGUCGUAAAACUCUGUUAUUGAAGAAGAACGUGUGUGACAGUAACUGGUCAUGCAGUGACGGUAUUCAAUCAGAAAGUCACGGCUAACUACGUGCCAGCAGCCGCGGUAAUACGUAGGUGGCAAGCGUUGUCCGGAUUUAUUGGGCGUAAAGCGAGCGCAGGCGGAAUUGAUAAGUCUGAUGUGAAAGCCCACGGCUCAACCGG